GAAAAGAACGGGGUGCCGACUGACACGUGCCAAGCCACUAAUUUCGUACGCCUUGAGGUCCCGUCGCGUGCGUUAGAAGCGUCGGGUUUGGGUCACGUUGAUUCCGGCUUCGGUGCGUUUGUCUGUCUAAAUCUCGGCAUUACUAUUAUCAUCGUCGUCGUUGCCUUUCAUAUCCUUCACGCUGUUGAGAGGCGAAAUCCGCCCUACGAGACCCCAGCAGACCUUUAUCCUCUUCCUCUUAUACAUCCGGCCGGCCGGCCACGGCGAGAACGUCGCUUCCCAAGUUCUCGGCCGUGCAGACCGUUGUCGUCAGCUACCUUGGUCGGUCUCCACCUCUUUUUCAGCUCCUUUGAGGCCAUUCGAUUGAAUAUUAUGACCAUGUUCUCUAUGAGAUGGUAGCAAGCAGGGAGGGUCUAGAGAAUGGAAUAAACUCAAGGCUUCAUGAUCUAAAGGCUUUAAUGUCAUUUGGAUUCACUCAUAGGAAGAUGCCUAAAGUUCUGAUUUCAAUGAAUCUAAUUUUCACAAAGUGCGACAAACGUAAGAAGACGACGAUGUGUGGUGGGCGGUAGGAGAUGAGGAUGAUGAUGAUGAUGAAUGGUGGCAGAAGACACGAAGAAAAUGUUGAGAAAAUUUUCUUAUCUGCUCAUGCUGCGCUGAGGUGCAACGUCUGUUUGGGGUAGUCUUUUGCUUACAAUGACUAGUAGAAUCCAUGGCCGAGUAGUGAGAAUGGAAAGUUGGCUUCCGCCGCCGCUGUCUCUGAACCCGUCAUGCUCAGUUCGAAUUCUGGGAGGAAGCUGAUUUCGCUUGCAGAAUUGGGACUGAUAAGCUCAGCAUCGUAGCUGUUGAUGGCGGAAACAUCGAAUGGAAGGCAGGAAGAGUCCAUCAUCAAGCUGGGUUGCAGCAGCAGCAGGAGGAGGAGGAGGAGGAGGAGGAGAAACAAUGAGACGCCUCUUCUUCGCUGCUGUGGAAGACUGCUGCUUGGAGAUUACGAGCCUGGAGAGCGAUCGAGGGUCAUCAGCCAUUUUAGCAAGGAACGACAUCAUCUGGAGCAUCUCGUCCACCUCCCCUUCCAUGGCUCCCUUCUCCUUCUCGCUGCUGCUGCUACAGGCAAACAAGCCAGCAUGGGCUCUCUUGGUCCGCCUAAUGAUGCGAGGAAGGAGGUGAAUCUGGUCCCUGAGGAACGACUGGAUUGCAGGCGGAAAAUAUCGAGGAAGGAGUGACACUACAGACGUAGGUGUUCAGCUGGCGGACGAAGCUGGAGAAGUUACUGUGCCUGAAAUAGUAAGGCAGCAGGAACUGGGAGAACUCGUUGGGACUGAG